rnacentral:misc_RNA from 1 species
AUCUUUAAUGGGUUUUCACAGCUAAGCUUGUAGUUGAAAUUUGAUACAAUAAUAUUUAUGUUUAAGGUCCACCAAGAAACCAGGUUCAAGGUAUGCAAAGAACACCCACUGUCACCAUAUUCUCUGAACUCCAAAUAAAAACUAUUGUUUUCUUGUUUUUGGGGACAAAAGUUUAGCCCAUACCCUUUUGGUUUUUUUUACUUCCAUUUGCAGGUUUGUUACAUAUUAAUGGUGUCUUG